rnacentral:rRNA from 1 species
CAAAGGUAGCAUAAUCAAUUGGCUUUUAAUUAAAGUCUAGUAUGAAUGAACGCAUGGGUAGUUACUGUCUAAAGGACGUUAAUACAAAAUUAUUAAGUUGGUGCAAAUACCAACAAAAUUAAAAAAGACGAGAAGACCCUAGAAACUAAUAGUUAAUUUUGCUGGGGCGGCAGAAUUGCAUAUAACCAAUUUUAAUUAACGUGAAGCAAGGCAGAAAGAAAAAGUUACUCUAGGGAUAACAGCAUAAUUUUAAUAGUUUGUGACCUCGAUGUUGGACUAGGGAUUCUACCCCCUAGAAGGGGGUAGUUAUAGCUCUGUUCGAGCUCUUAGCCCCUACGUGAUCUGAGUUCAAA